AGGAAAGGAGGAAAGGAAGAAAGAAAAUAGAGGACAGGAACGAGAGGUGGAGGAGGGAUCUUGCUUACGGAAGAAUCCCAUUUCUGACUGCUCAAUGCUGAGAGUCUUGGACUCAGGAAAUCGUCCAUUUGCAAGACCUCCAAAGCAAGAACCGUCAGUGGACGCCCAGCCUCGGAGGAAGUUUUGGCCAUUUUAAGGAUUGUGUUCUUAAGAGAGUUCUGGAACCACUGGAGGCUUUGAGGCGAAGGGGAGACGUUAAAUGAUCAUUCUGGCUGCACAGUGAAUGGGUUUUGCAGUCCAAGGACAGAGUGGCCACACUGCUCAGCUCGGAGGAGUGAGCUGCGACGCGCAUACAGGUUCCUCCAGACGCUGCAGUGACCCAGCUACCCGGCCAGAAAGAACAGCCC